AAGUCGUAACAAGGUUUCCGUAGGUGAACCUGCGGAAGGAUCAUUACCGAGUAUCGGGUCCUCGUGGCCCGCACUCCAACCCUCUGUGUACCAACUUUGUUGCUUUGGCGGGCCCGCGGUGUAAUGCCGCAGCCGGCUCACGCUGGUCAGCGCCCGCCAGAGAACCGUUAAAACUCUUGUUUGAACAGUGUCGUCUGAGCAAAAUCAUAACAGUUAAAACUUUCAACAACGGAUCUCUUGGUUCUG
rnacentral:misc_RNA from 1 species